UAGGGAAUCUUCCACAAUGGGCGAAAGCCUGAUGGAGCAAUGCCGCGUGUGUGAUGAAGGGUUUCGGCUCGUAAAACACUGUUGUAAGAGAAGAAUGACAUUGAGAGUAACUGUUCAAUGUGAGACGGUAUCUUACCAGAAAGGAACGGCUAAAUACGUACCAG
rnacentral:rRNA from 1 species